rnacentral:rRNA from 1 species
UACGAGUGCUUCAAGCGUUAUCCGGAAUCAUUGGGCGUAAAGGGCUCGUAGGCGGCCAACUAAGUCAGACGUGAAAUCCCCAGGCUCAACCUGGGAACUGCGUCUGAUACUGGAUGGCUUGAAUCCGGGAGAGGGAUGCAGAAUUCCAGGUGUAGCGGUGAAAUGCGUAGAUAUCUGGAGGAAUACCGGUGGCGAAGGCGGUAUCCUGGACCGGCAUUGACGCUGAGGAGCGAAAGCCAGGGGAGCAAACGGG